AAGUCAGGAGUGAAAGGCUACGGCUCAACCGUAGUAAGCUCUUGAAACUGGGAGACUUGAGUGCAGGAGAGGAGAGUGGAAUUCCUAGUGUAGCGGGGAAAUGCGUAGAUAUUAGGAGGAACACCAGUUGCGAAGGCGGCUCUCUGGACUGUAACUGACGCUGAGGCACGAAAGCGGGGGGAGCAAACAGGAUUAGAUACCCUGGUAGUCCACGCUGUAAACGAUGAGUACUAGGUGUCGGGGGUU
rnacentral:rRNA from 1 species